rnacentral:rRNA from 1 species
UCUGACACAGGUGCUGCAUGGCUGUCGUCAGCUCGUGUCGUGAGAUGUUGGGUUAAGUCCGUAACGAGCGCAACCCUUGUCCUUAGUUACCAGCACGUUAUGGUGGGCGACUCUAAGGAGACUGCCGGUGACAAACCGGAGGAAGGUGGGGAGUGACGUCAAGUCAUCAUGGCCCUUACGGCCUGGGCUACACACGUGCUACAAUGGUCGGUACAAAGGGUUGCCAAGCCGCGAGGUGGAGCUAAUCCCAUAAAACCGAUCGUAGUCCGGAUCGCAGUCUGCAACUCGACUGCGUGAAGUCGGAAUCGCUAGUAAUCGUGAAUCAGAAUGUCACGGUGAAUACGUUCCCGGGCCUU